ACGCUGGCGGCGUGCCUAAUACAUGCAAGUCGAGCGGACAGAUGGGAGCUUGCUCCCUGAUGUUAGCGGCGGACGGGUGAGUAACACGUGGGUAACCUGCCUGUAAGACUGGGAUAACUCCGGGAAACCGGGGCUAAUACCGGAUGGUUGUCUGAACCGCAUGGUUCAGACAUAAAAGGUGGCUUCGGCUACCACUUACAGAUGGACCCGCGGCGCAUUAGCUAGUUGGUGAGGUAACGGCUCACCAAGGCGACGAUGCGUAGCCGACCUGAGAGGGUGAUCGGCCACACUGGGACUGAGACACGGCCCAGACUCCUACGGGAGGCAGCAGUAGGGAAUCUUCCGCAAUGGACGAAAGUCUGACGGAGCAACGCCGCGUGAGUGAUGAAGGUUUUCGGAUCGUAAAGCUCUGUUGUUAGGGAAGAACAAGUGCCGUUCAAAUAGGGCGGCACCUUGACGGUACCUAACCAGAAAGCCACGGCUAACUACGUGCCAGCAGCCGCGGUAAUACGUAGGUGGCAAGCGUUGUCCGGAAUUAUUGGGCGUAAAGGGCUCGCAGGCGGUUUCUUAAGUCUGAUGUGAAAGCCCCCGGCUCAACCGGGGAGGGUCAUUGGAAACUGGGGAACUUGAGUGCAGAAGAGGAGAGUGGAAUUCCACGUGUAGCGGUGAAAUGCGUAGAGAUGUGGAGGAACACCAGUGGCGAAGGCGACUCUCUGGUCUGUAACUGACGCUGAGGAGCGAAAGCGUGGGGAGCGAACAGGAUUAGAUACCCUGGUAGUCCACGCCGUAAACGAUGAGUGCUAAGUGUUAGGGGGUUUCCGCCCCUUAGUGCUGCAGCUAACGCAUUAAGCACUCCGCCUGGGGAGUACGGUCGCAAGACUGAAACUCAAAGGAAUUGACGGGGGCCCGCACAAGCGGUGGAGCAUGUGGUUUAAUUCGAAGCAACGCGAAGAACCUUACCAGGUCUUGACAUCCUCUGACAAUCCUAGAGAUAGGACGUCCCCUUCGGGGGCAGAGUGACAGGUGGUGCAUGGUUGUCGUCAGCUCGUGUCGUGAGAUGUUGGGUUAAGUCCCGCAACGAGCGCAACCCUUGAUCUUAGUUGCCAGCAUUCAGUUGGGCACUCUAAGGUGACUGCCGGUGACAAACCGGAGGAAGGUGGGGAUGACGUCAAAUCAUCAUGCCCCUUAUGACCUGGGCUACACACGUGCUACAAUGGACAGAACAAAGGGCAGCGAAACCGCGAGGUUAAGCCAAUCCCACAAAUCUGUUCUCAGUU
rnacentral:rRNA from 1 species